rnacentral:rRNA from 1 species
GUCUUUUUGAGUUAUUUUUAAAGUCUGACCUGCCCACUGAAUUUUUAAAUGGCCGCAGUAUUCUAACUGUGCAAAGGUAGCAUAAUCAUUAGUCUUUUAAUUGAAGGCUGGUAUGAAUGGUUGGACGAGGUAUAAGCUGUUUCAUAUAAAAUUAUAGUAGAAUUUUAUAUUUUAGUUAAAAAGCUAAAAUGAGGUUAAAAGACGAGAAGACCCUAUAAAUCUUUAUAUUUUAUAUACUUUAGAUUUUUUUGGUUUGUUUUAUUUUUAUUAUAUUGAAUAUUUUGUUGGGGUGAUGUUAAAAUUUGAUGAACUUUUAAUUUUUUAAGUCAUUAAUUUAUGAGUUAUUGAUCCGUUAUUAACGAUUAUAAGAUUAAGUUACUUUAGGGAUAACAGCGUAAUUUUUUUGGAGAGUUCAUAUCGAUAAAAAAGUUUGCGACCUCGAUGUUGGAUUAAGAUAUAAUUUUAGGUGUAGCUGCUUAAAUGUUAAGUCUGUUCGACUUUUAAAUUCUU